GCGCCGGUAGUCUAGUGGUAGGACUAAGGCUUCCCAAGCCUUCGAUGCGGGUUCGAUUCCCGCCCGGCGCA
rfam:Euryarchaeota archaeon RBG_16_68_13 RBG_16_scaffold_1693, whole genome shotgun sequence.